AGAGUUUGAUCCUGGCUCAGGAUGAACGCUGGCGGCAUGCCUAAUACAUGCAAGUCGAACGGACGGAAGAUGAGCUUGCUCAUUGGAAGUCAGUGGCGAACGGGUGAGUAACACGUAGGGAAUCUGCCCAUGUGCCCGGGACAACAGAUGGAAACGUCUGCUAAAACCGGAUAGGUGGCAAGGAGGCAUCUUCUUGCGAUUAAAGGGGCUACGGCCUUGAACAUGGAUGAUCCUGCGGUGCAUUAGCUAGUUGGUGAGGUAACGGCUCACCAAGGCGAUGAUGCAUAGCCGACCUGAGAGGGUGAACGGCCACAUUGGGACUGAGACACGGCCCAAACUCCUACGGGAGGCAGCAGUAGGGAAUUUUCGUCAAUGGGGGGAACCCUGAACGAGCAAUGCCGCGUGUGUGAGGAAGGUCUUCGGAUCGUAAAGCACUGUUGUAAGAGAGGAACGGUAUCCAGAGGGAAUGCUGGGUAAGUGACAGUAUCUUACCAGAAAGCCACGGCUAACUACGUGCCAGCAGCCGCGGUAAUACGUAGGUGGCGAGCGUUAUCCGGAAUCAUUGGGCGUAAAGGGUGCGUAGGCGGCGAGUUAAGUCUGAGGUAAAAGGUUGCAGCUCAACUGUAACAAGCCUUGGAAACUGACUGGCUAGAGUGCAGGAGAGGGCAGUGGAAUUCCAUGUGUAGCGGUAAAAUGCGUAGAUAUAUGGAGGAACACCAGUGGCGAAGGCGGCUGUCUGGCCUGUAACUGACGCUGAGGCACGAAAGCGUGGGGAGCAAAUAGGAUUAGAUACCCUAGUAGUCCACGCCGUAAACGAUGAGAACUAAGUGUUGGGGAAACUCAGUGCUGCAGUUAACGCAAUAAGUUCUCCGCCUGGGGAGUAUGCACGCAAGUGUGAAACUCAAAGGAAUUGACGGGGGCCCGCACAAGCGGUGGAGUAUGUGGUUUAAUUCGAAGCAACGCGAAGAACCUUACCAGGGCUUGACAUCCUACUAACGAGGUAGAGAUACGUUAGGUGCCCUUCGGGGAAAGUAGAGACAGGUGGUGCAUGGUUGUCGUCAGCUCGUGUCGUGAGAUGUUGGGUUAAGUCCCGCAACGAGCGCAACCC
rnacentral:rRNA from 1 species